AUCGCUACACGGUGAUAGUAAUAAUACGAGUGAAGUGAAACUUAAUCAAAAUGCCCAUGUCACUAGUCCCUCAUAUAAAACUAGUGUAUCAACAUAGGUGUUAGAAUCAUAUUAUACCGUUAAAGUGCAUGCAUAUAUGCAAUGAUAAUGUGACACACUUAUAGAUUGACAUAUGCUUCGAGUUUGGUUACACCACAAGUAUAUACUCUAUGCUUUGCUGGUGAUAAUGCAAGCAAGAAGUAAUUACCAAACUC
rnacentral:lncRNA from 1 species